rnacentral:rRNA from 1 species
CUACGGUGAAUACGUUCCCGGACCUUGUACGCACCGCCCGUCAAGCCAUGGAAGCUGGGUGUACCUAAAGUCGAUAACCGUAAGGAGUCGCCUAGGGUAAAACUAGUAACUGGGGCU